UAAAGGAAAUAAGAGCGCACAGUGGAUGCCUAGGCACCAAGAGCUGAUGAAGGACGCAAUUAACGGCGAUACGCUACGGGGAGCUGUAAAUAAGUGUAGAUCCGUGGAUUUCCGAAUGGGGCAACCUACUAUAAGAAGUUAUAGUAUCAAUUGUUAGGCAACUAACUGAUUGAAAGGAACGCAGUGAACUGAAAUAUCUAAGUAACUGCAGGAACAGAAAGUAAUAACGAUUCCGGUAGUAGUGACGAGCGAAUCCGGAACAGCCGGAUACCAAUAACUAGUUACCAAAUUUUAAUUAACUCGAAAUAGUUGGAAAGCUAUAUCCCAGAAGGUGAAAAUCCUGUAGAGGUAAGUUAAAAUCUAGGGUAUCCUCAAGUACGGCGAGACACGAGAAAUCUUGUUGGAAGAUAGGAGGACCAUCUCCUAAGGCUAAAUACUCCUUGGUGACCGAUAGUGAACUAGUACCGUGAGGGAAAGGUGAAAAGAACCCCGGAAGGGGAGUGAAAUAGAUCCUGAAACUGUGUGCUUACAAGUAGUCAAAGCUCGUUUAAGAGUGAUGGCGUGCCUUUUGCAGAAUGAACCGGCGAGUUAUGAUAUAGAGCAAGGUUAAGUUUGAAGGAACGUAGCCGUAGCGAAAGCGAGUCUGAAUAGGGCGUUUAGUUGUAUGUCAUAGACCCGAAACUGAAGUGAGCUAGCCAUGAACAGGCUGAAGUGACGUGACCACGUCAUGGAGGGCCGAACCAGGACACGUUGAAAAGUGUUUGGAUGAUUUGUGGCUAGAGGUGAAAUUCCAAUCGAACUCAGAGAUAGCUGGUUCUCCCCGAAAUAGCUUUAGGGCUAGCGUUGGGUAUUUAAUAGUUCUUGAAGGUAGAGCACUAAAUGAGUGCGGGCUCCACCUCGGGGUACCAAUCUCAAUUAAACUCCGAAUGUCAAGAACCGUAUCCCAGCAGUCAGACGAUGGGUGAUAAGGUCCAUGGUCAAAAGGGAAAGAGCCCAGACCGUCAGCUAAGGUCCCUAAAUUAAUGUUAAGUGGUUAAGGAAGUAAAAACGUUAAAACAAUUAGGAAGUUGGCUUAGAAGCAGCCAUCUUUUAAAGAGUGCGUAAUAGCUCACUAAUCUAAUAUUUUUGCACCGAAAAUGUAACGGGGCUAAACAUUAUACCGAAGCUACGGAUAUGUUCCGGCUAGUAAUAGCUAAGGAACAUGUGGUAGGGGAAGCGUUCUAACAUCGUAGAAGCUAUAGCGGAAGCAGUAGUGGAGAGGUUAGAAGUGAGAAUGCCGGUGUAAGUAACGAAAAGAUAGAUGAGAAUUCUAUCCGUCGAAAACCCAAGGUUUCCAGGGGCAGGGUCGUCCGCCCUGGGUUAGUCAGGAACUAAGGCGAGGCAGCAAUGCGUAGUCGAUGACCAGCAGGCUAAAAUUCCUGCACUAAAAAAAUCACUGAUGGAGGGACAAAAGAGGAUAAGCACGCCCUUUAUUGGAUUAGGGUCGAAAAAUCGAGUUUGAGAAGAUAGGCAAAUCCGUCUUCUUACUUGCCAAAAAAUGAGAUUUGAGGGUAACGUGACUGUGUUCAUAUUUUCUAGAAAAGCUUCUAGGGUUAAUGAUUUUUUUACCUGUACCGUAAACCGACACAGGUGGGAAGGUAGAGUAUACUAAGACGCGCGAGAAAACUCUUGUUAAGGAACUCGGCAAAAUGACUCCGUAACUUCGGGAUAAGGAGAGCUUUUAUGAUAAAAAGUAAAAGCCGCAGAGAAUAGGCCCAAGCGACUGUUUAUCAAAAACACAGGUCUCUGCUAAACCGUAAGGUGAUGUAUAGGGGCUGAUGCCUGCCCGGUGCUGGAAGAUUAAGAGGAGAUGUUCGGGCUUGCCCAAAGCAUUGAAUUGAAGUCCCAGUGAACGGCGGCCGUAACUAUAACGGUCCUAAGGUAGCGAAAUUCCUUGUCGGGUAAAUUCCGACCUGCACGAAAGGCAUAACGAUUUGGGCGCUGUCUCAACAAGAGUCUCGGUGAAAUCAAAUUACCGGUGAAAAUGCCGGUUACCCGCGACAGGACGAAAAGACCCCAUGGAGCUUUACUGUAGCUUAAUAUUGGAAUUGGAAAUCUCAUGUACAGGAUAGGUGGGAGACAGAGAACUUUAGACGCUAGUUUAAAGGGAGUCACCGGUGGGAUACCACUCUUGAGAUUUUUAGUUUCUAACCUGCAUAAGUGGAUUAUGAGGGACAGUGUUUGGUGGGCAGUUUGACUGGGGCGGUCGCCUCCUAAAAAGUAACGGAGGCGUUCAAAGGUUCCCUCAAAAUGGUCAGAAAUCAUUUUUAGAGCGUAAAGGUAUAAGGGAGCUUGACUGUGAGACCUACAAGUCGAGCAGGGACGAAAGUCGGACUUAGUGAUCUUGCGGUACCGAAUGGAAGGGCCGUGACUCAACGGAUAAAAGCUACCCUGGGGAUAACAGCCUUAUCGCCCCCGAGCGUUCACAGCGACGGGGCGGUUUGGCACCUCGAUGUCGGCUCUUCGCAUCCUGGAGCUGGAGCAGGUUCCAAGGGUUGGGCUGUUCGCCCAUUAAAGCGGUACGCGAGCUGGGUUCAGAACGUCGUGAGACAGUUCGGUCUCUAUCCGUCGUGGGCGUUGGAAAUUUGCGAGGAACUGUCCCUAGUAUGAGAAGACCGGGAUGGAUAUACCGCUGGUGCACCAGUUGGUUCGCCAGAGCCAUAGCUGGGUAGCUAUGUAUAGUAUGGAUAAACACUGAAAGCAUCUAAGUGUGAAGCCUCCCUCAAGAUGAGAUUUCCCUAAGAGAUCCCUGAAAGACGAUCAGGUUGAUAGGCUAGAAGUGGAAGAGUAGUGAUAUUUGGAGCUGACUAGUACUAAUAGAUCCAACGACUUUGAUGA
rnacentral:rRNA from 1 species